rnacentral:rRNA from 1 species
GUAGGGUGCAAGCGUUAAUCGGAAUUACUGGGCGUAAAGCGUGCGCAGGCGGUUAUGCAAGACAGAGGUGAAAUCCCCGGGCUCAACCUGGGAACUGCCUUUGUGACUGCAUAGCUAGAGUACGGUAGAGGGGGAUGGAAUUCCGCGUGUAGCAGUGAAAUGCGUAGAUAUGCGGAGGAACACCGAUGGCGAAGGCAAUCCCCUGGACCUGUACUGACGCUCAUGCACGAAAGCGUGGGGAGCAAACAGGAUUAGAUACCCUGGUAGUCCACGCCCUAAACGAUGUCAACUGGUUGUUGGGAGGGUUUCUUCUCAGUAACGUAGCUAACGCGUGAAGUUGACCGCCUGGGGAGUACGGCCGCAAGGUUGAAACCCAAAGGAAUUGACGGGGACCCGCACAAGCGGUGGAUGAUGUGGUUUAAUUCGACGCAACGCGAAAAACCUUACCUACCCUUGACAUGUCUGGAAUCCUGAAGAGAUUUGGGAGUGCUCGAAAGAGAGCCAGAACACAGGUGCUGCAUGGCCGUCGUCAGCUCGUGUCGUGAGAUGUUGGGUUAAGUCCCGCAACGAGCGCAACCCUUGUCAUUAGUUGCUACGAAAGGGCACUCUAAUGAGACUGCCGGUGACAAACCGGAGGAAGGUGGGGAUGACGUCAGGUCAUCAUGGCCCUUAUGGGUAGGGCUACACACGUCAUACAAUGGCCGGGACAGAGGGCUGCCAACCCGCGAGGGGGAGCUAAUCCCAGAAACCCGGUCGUAGUCCGGAUCGUAGUCUGCAACUCGACUGCGUGAAGUCGGAAUCGCUAGUAAUCGCGGAUCAGCUUGCCGCGGUGAAUACGUUCCCGGGUCUUGUACACACCGCCCGU